rnacentral:rRNA from 1 species
UACGAAGGGUGCAAGCGUUACUCGGAAUUACUGGGCGUAAAGCGUGCGUAGGUGGUUUGUUAAGUCUGUUGUGAAAGCCCCGGGCUCAACCUGGGAAUGGCAAUGGAUACUGGCAAGCUAGAGUGCGGUAGAGGGUAGUGGAAUUCCCGGUGUAGCAGUGAAAUGCGUAGAUAUCGAGAGGAACACCGGUGGCGAAGGCGGCUACCUGGACAGUGACUGACGCUGAGACGCGAAAGCGUGGGGAGCAAACAGG